UCCUACGGGAGGCAGCAGUGGGGGAUAUUGCACAAUGGGCGAAAGCCUGAUGCAGCAACGCCGCGUGAGGGAAGACGGUUUUCGGAUUGUAAACCUCUGUCUUUGGUGAAGGAGAAAGUGACGGUAGCCAAGGAGGAAGCCACGGCUAACUACGUGCCAGCAGCCGCGGUAAUACGUAGGUGGCAAGCGUUGUCCGGAAUUACUGGGUGUAAAGGGAGCGCAGGCGGGACAGCAAGUUGGAUGUGAAAUACCGCAGCUCAACUGCGGAGCCGCAUCCAAAACUGUUGUUCUUGAGUGGAGUAGAGGUAGGCGGAAUUCCGAGUGUAGCGGUGAAAUGCGUAGAUAUUCGGAGGAACACCAGUGGCGAAGGCGGCCUACUGGGCUCUUACUGACGCUGAGGCUCGAAAGUGUGGGGAGCAAACAGGAUUAGAUACCCUGGUAGUCC
rnacentral:rRNA from 1 species